AGCGAACGCUGGCGGCAGGCCUAAUACAUGCAAGUCGAGCGCACCUUCGGGUGAGCGGCGGACGGGUGAGUAACGCGUGGGAAUGUGCCCUUUGGUACGGAACAACUGAGGGAAACUUCAGCUAAUACCGUAUGUGCCCUUCGGGGGAAAGAUUUAUCGCCAUAGGAGCAGCCCGCGUUGGAUUAGGUAGUUGGUGAGGUAAAGGCUCACCAAGCCUACGAUCCAUAGCUGGUCNGAGAGGAUGAUCAGCCACACUGGGACUGAGACACGGCCCAGACUCCUACGGGAGGCAGCAGUAGGGAAUCUUGCGCAAUGGGACGAAAGCCUGACGCAGCCAUG
rnacentral:rRNA from 1 species